rnacentral:rRNA from 1 species
GAUGAACGCUGGCGGCGUGCCUAAUACAUGCAAGUCGAGCGAACAGACGAGGAGCUUGCUCCUCUGACGUUAGCGGCGGACGGGUGAGUAACACGUGGAUAACCUACCUAUAAGACUGGGAUAACUUCGGGAAACCGGAGCUAAUACCGGAUAAUAUAUUGAACCGCAUGGUUCAAUAGUGAAAGACGGUUUUGCUGUCACUUAUAGAUGGAUCCGCGCCGCAUUAGCUAGUUGGUAAGGUAACGGCUUACCAAGGCAACGAUGCGUAGCCGACCUGAGAGGAUGAUCGGCCACACUGGAACUGAGACACGGUCCAGACUCCUACGGGAGGCGGCAGUAGGGAAUCUUCCGCAAUGGGCGAAAGCCUGACGGAGCAACGCCGCGUGAGUGAUGAAGGUCUUCGGAUCGUAAAACUCUGUUAUUAGGGAAGAACAAAUGUGUAAGUAACUAUGCACGUCUUGACGGUACCUAAACAGAAAGCCACGGCUAACUACGUG